AAUAAGUGUAGUUUUACACUAUUCACGUUCAAUAUUUGAUCGUUCGUCUUAUUUAAAAAUUUUUUAUGAUUAGUAUUUUUAUUGCUAUUUGAUGAUAAAAUAUGAAUAAUACUUUAUGUGUGACUAAUUUUUUUUAUUUUUUUCAAAAAUUUUUCAAAUAAGACGGACGGUCAAAUGUUAGACACGGAUAUUCACGGCUGCACUUAUU
rnacentral:pre_miRNA from 1 species